GGCCCAGCAACCGCCAAUUUGCAAAUUUGGAGAGAGAAAAGUUCGUUUCCUGGGUCU
rnacentral:tRNA from 1 species